rnacentral:rRNA from 2 species
CGGCCGGGAACUCAAAGGAGACUGCCAGUGAUAAACUGGAGGAAGGUGGGGAUGACGUCAAGUCAUCAUGGCCCUUACGAGUAGGGCUACACACGUGCUACAAUGGCAUAUACAAAGAGAAGCGACCUCGCGAGAGCAAGCGGACCUCAUAAAGUAUGUCGUAGUCCGGAUUGGAGUCUGCAACUCGACUCCAUGAAGUCGGAAUCGCUAGUAAUCGUGGAUCAGAAUGCCACGGUGAAUACGUUCCCGGGCCUUGUACACACCGCCCGUCACACCAUGGGAGUGGGUUGCAAAAGAAGUAGGUAGCUUAACCUUCGGGAGGGCGCUUACCACUUUGUGAUUCAUGACUGGGGUGAAGUCGUAACAAGGUAACCGUAGGGGAACCUGCGGUUGGAUCACCUCCUUA